rnacentral:rRNA from 1 species
AACGAACGUUGGCGGCGCGCCUAACACAUGCAAGUCGCACGCGAAAGGGAGCAAUCCCCGGUAGAGUGGCGCACGGGUGAGUAACACGUGGGUAAUCUUCCCUCGAGCGGGGGAUAACCUUCCGAAAGGAGGGCUAAUACCGCAUAAGACCACGUGCUGUACGCAGCACGGGGUAAAAGCAGGCCUCUACAUGUAAGCUUGCACUUGAGGAUGAGCCCGCGGCCCAUCCGCUAGUUGGUAGUGUAAGAGACUACCAAGGCUAAGGCGGGUAGCUGGUCUGAGAGGAUGAUCAGCCACACUGGAACUGAGACACGGUCCAGACUCCUACGGGAGGCAGCAGUGGGGAAUCUUGCGCAAUGGGCGAAAGCCUGAUGCAGCGACGCCGCGUGGGUGAUGAAGGCCUUCGGGUUGUAAAGCCCUGUGGGGAGGGACGAAUAACAACGACCUAAUACGUCGUUGGAUGACGGUACCUCCUUAGCAAGCACCGGCUAACUCUGUGCCAGCAGCCGCCGUAAAAC